CCUACGGGCGGCUGCAGUCGAGAAUCUUCGGCAAUGGGCGCAAGCCUGACCGAGCGACGCCGCGUGGAGGACGAAGGCCUUCGGGUUGUAAACUCCUGUCGAGGGGGAAGAAGCCGCAAGGUUGACUGAUCCCUGGAGGAAGCACGGGCUAAGUUCGUGCCAGCAGCCGCGGUAAGACGAACCGUGCGAACGUUAUUCGGAAUCACUGGGCUUAAAGCGCGUGUAGGCGGAGAGGCACGUCGGCCGUUGAAAGCCCCCGGCUCAACCGGGGAACGGGCGCCGAAACGACCGCUCUGGAGGGGCGUAGGGGGAGCUGGAACUUCCGGUGGAGCGGUGAAAUGCGUUGAGAUCGGAAGGAACGCCCGUGGCGAAAGCGAGCUCCUGGACGCCAUCUGACGCUGAGACGCGAAAGCCAGGGGAGCGAACGGGAUUAGAUACCCCAGUAGUC
rnacentral:rRNA from 1 species